rnacentral:sRNA from 1 species
CUGUGCCGGUUAGAUUGGGAUACUCAUCAAUAAUUACAGAAAUACCGAGGCAGCUGGUUUGCUCAAUGGCGGGCCGUCGUGCCCACUCUCCGCAAGGCGUGUGAGCAGAGUCGGAUUACAGCGACAAGCCAGUCCUCAAAUCCUUUUUCCUCGGAGUUUCAUCACAUCACCGGUACAGCCGC